rnacentral:lncRNA from 1 species
CUAAAGCUAUUCACAACUAAUUAUGAAUUUAACGUGAAUAAGCUCGAAUGCAAAAAUAUUGAGUUGCUUAACAUGCUUAGGACUGUUAACCCUAGUGGGCAAACCAUUGAUUCCUUUAAAGAUAUUAAGAGGAAGUCUAAAGAGGCUUUAUGAAAGCACCCAAUAUGGUUAAGACAGUAUAAGCGAAAGGACAAAUACAAAAUCUAAUGACCCUUGGUUUCAUUAUAGAAUGAAAGGUCAUUGGAAGGAAUAUUGUAUGNNN